rnacentral:sRNA from 1 species
CUACAAAGGAAGAGUUAAUUGUUAGCAACAAAAACGAAGCAAAGUCGCUAUUAAACGUCGACGAUGUAAAAAACAUUUUGAAGCAAAUACAGAAAUACGUCGUCUUUGACCUAACAAACAAUGUUGGAAAGAAAUUCAUUGGUCAAGCAUUGCUAAAAGCUGUGAUAACGAAAAAAGAAAGAAACGAAUUACAAGACGAAAUGAACUUUCUUCAACUGUGCAUAACACU